AGUGAACGCUGGCGGUAUGCCUAAUACAUGCAAGUCGAGCGGCCGCACAGUAAGCUCUCGCCUUUACGGUUGGCGAGUGGCGGACGGGUGAGGCAUACAUCGGCAUCUACUUUUUCGUGGGUGAUAACGUAGGGAAACUUCUGCUAAUACCGCAUACGUCCUACGGGUGGAAGCAGAGGUUCUUCGGACUUUGCCCGACUCAAUUAGCCGAUGCCGGAUUAGCUAGUUGGCUGGGUAAAGGCCCACCAAGGCAACGAUGCGUAGCUGACCUGAGAGGAUGAUCGGCCACACUGGAACUGAGACACGGUCCAGACUCCUACGGGAGGCAGCAGUAGGGAAUAUUGCGCAAUGGGCGAAAGCCUGACGCAGCAACGCCGCGUGGGUGAUGAAGGUCUUCGGGUCGUAAAGCUCUGUUAUUAGGGAAGAAAAGAAGCAUAUGAAAAUCCCGCUGUCCUGACGGUACCUAAACAGUAAGCAACGGCUAACUACGUG
rnacentral:rRNA from 1 species